rnacentral:rRNA from 1 species
GGGUCAGCAGGUUGGUCGUGCCACCGGUACGUACUGGUCUCACUGAUUCCUCCUUCCUGAAGAACCGUAAUGCCAUUAAUUUGGUGUUGCGGGGAAACAGGACUGUUACUUUGAAAAAAUUAGAGUGUUUAAAGCAAGCUAACGCUUGAAUACAUUAGCAUGGAAUAAUGAAAUAGGACGAUCGAUCCUAUUUUGUUGGCUUCUAGGAUUGACGUA